rnacentral:rRNA from 1 species
UACGUAGGGUGCGAGCGUUAAUCGGAAUUACUGGGCGUAAAGCGUGCGUAGGCGGUUCUCCAAGUCCGUUGUGAAAGCCCCGGGCUCAACCUGGGAAUGGCAGUGGAAACUAGGGGACUGGAAUCUGGCAGAGGGGGGUGGAAUGCCGCGUGUAGCAGUGAAAUGCGUAGAGAUGCGGCGGAACACCGAUGGCGAAGGCAAUCCCCUGGGCCUGCACUGACGCUCAUGCACGAAAGCGUGGGGAGCAAACAGG